ACUGGCAGGCUAGAGUCUUGUAGAGGGGGGUAGAAUUCCAGGUGUAGCGGUGAAAUGCGUAGAGAUCUGGAGGAAUACCGGUGGCGAAGGCGGCCCCCUGGACAAAGACUGACGCUCAGGUGCGAAAGCGUGGGGAGCAAACAGGAUUAGAUACCCUGGUAGUCCACGCCGUAAACGAUGUCGAUUUGGAGGUUGUGCCCUUGAGGCGUGGCUUCCGGAGCUAACGCGUUAAAUCGACCGCCUGGGGAGUACGGCCGCAAGGUUAAAACUCAAAUGAAUUGACGGGGGCCCGCACAAGCGGUGGAGCAUGUGGUUUAAUUCGAUGCAACGCGAAGAACCUUACCUGGUCUUGACAUCCACAGAACUUUCCAGAGAUGGAUUGGUGCCUUCGGGAACUGUGAGACAGGUGCUGCAUGGCUGUCGUCAGCUCGUGUUGUGAAAUGUUGGGUUAAGUCCCGCAA
rnacentral:rRNA from 1 species